rnacentral:rRNA from 2 species
CUGGUUGAUCCUGCCAGUAGUCAUAUGCUUGUCUCAAAGAUUAAGCCAUGCAUGUCUCAGUGCAAGCCGUCCUGUGUGUACGGUGAAACCGCGAAAGGCUCAUUAAAUCAGUUAUGGUUCCUUAGAUUGUGCCCCGCACACUUACUUGGAUAACUGUGGUAAUUCUAGAGCUAAUACAUGCCGACUGAGUUCCGACGGGCGUUGCGGGUGGUUCACGCAGCUGUCCCACAACGUUCGGCAGGAACGCUCUUAUUAGAUCAAAACCG